UAUACUAUCUGGUUGUGAUUCAUCUUAAUUUAUCUUAAUUUAUUUUAUUUCUUUGUGUAAAAUUGUCCAAUGCCUGAUUUGCCAAACCCAGACUCGUCCAUCAGACUGCCAGGCAGAGAAGCCUAAUUCGUCACUCCACAGAACACAUUUCCACUGCUCCAGUGUGCAGUGCUUCAUAUCACUCCAUCUGACGCUUUGGCCUUGCACUUGGUGAUGUGAGGCGUGCAUGCAGCUGCUCAGUCAUGGAAGCCCAUUACUUGAAGCUCCCAGCGCAGUUUUUGCUGGAGUCAAUGCCAGAGGGGGUUUGGAACUCUGCAGUUACCAAGUCAACAGAGCGUUGGCGACUUUUACGCACUGUGCGCCUCAGCACUCGCCGAUCUCAUUCUGUUAGUUUACGUGGUCUGCUACUUCACGGCUGAGUUUCUGUUGCUCUUAAACACUUACGGUGUUUUAUUUCCGUAUAUAGUCUGACGCUUGGGUUCGGCAUGCAUCUUCUGGACUACUUAGUGCGAUAGUUUUGGCAGGGGAUCCAGCAGCCUGGAAAUUCUGUUCUGAAUCACGGGGCUUUUGCCACAGAGGACUCAUUCUCAUGUUUAUAUAUAUAAAAAAAUCAUCCAUUGUGUUAUUUAUAAGCUAAGAAGGAUAUAGCUUUCUCAGCACCUAUCUUUUUAUGAUUUUUUUCUUUGUUAGAGGGAUUUUUCUAAGCUUCUUUUUAGGCUGUUCUGCUCACAGAUGGCUUAUACCGGAAUGCUCGAGAUCUAUCAGAUCUUUCUGUUGCCACUGUAUCAGUGAAAACAAAGGGCCAAAAUCGGAGUCCGAGGUUGACUAACUUAUGGAGCCACUGAGAGUUUACGUGAUGGAAAAGCAAUUCUAUAUAAACAGACUGAUUGCAAUUACAUUUAGUUAAAUUUUACUAAUAUAUGAGUUUUGACGAUGAUUACGAUGCAAACAAUUUCUCCAAUGCAGGGAUUUGUCUUUCAGUGCUAUCUCUAAGGAGUUGGACAUACAGUACAUAUCAAACAUCCAGACCCAUAGUUAUACAGGGUGGGGCAAGAGUACGUUUUUACAGUACUGAUUGGGUCAUGUUUUGUCUCUUAGGUGUUCAAAAUGUUGUUUGUCAAUGUUGAUACAUUCCUGGCGCCUGUCCCUGACACUGUGACACACUUUAGCACACAAAUCCUGCUUAGCAUCAAUGUCCACAAAUGGUUGCAAGAUGAACUCCUUCAAUUAAUUCUCUGUGUGAGCCUUCCUCUCAAGAUCUUCUCUACCACGCCCCCCAAAAAAAAGCCUAUGGGUGUCAGGUUGGGUGAACGUGGUGGCUAGCCAAUGCUGCCAUGUAGCCCAAUCCAACACUGUGGAAAGGUGCUGUUAGGGUAGCUGAAGUGUGUCAGUGUUAGGGACAGGUUCUAGGGAUGUAUCAACAUUGACGGAGGACAUUUCAAACACCUAAGAUAAAUAAAAUAAAUAAAUAAAACCUAUACAUACGUUUAAAAUAACUUGCGAAAUAAAAACUUUAGUGUAAAAUAUAACCUUUACUUUGCAAAAUAAAAACUGUAUACCUAGUUUUGGCCCACCCUGUGUAUUUCUGUCAGAAAACCUACAGUCUCUGGAACAUGUUCUCCUAUCAUCCAUAAAUCAGGUGGAUAAUGGGACCCGGUGGAUCUACUCCUCAUGCAGCUUCAACAUGGUUCUCAGUGUUGGCUAAGACAGCUCUGUAAACACAUGAACAUCUGCUCCACAAGGCCCGAGUCCAGCUGCUUCUGACUGAGUUGGCUCUCGCUGAAGCAGAUCACUUGGGACUGGCUGUCCUGGUUCUCUCUCACUCCAUAGUAGUAUAACAUGGUAAGAAUAUGAAUAUUUCCCAGCUAUAGGAGCUGGUAAGUAAUAGCAGUUAAUGUUAACCGUAGAUUAUAGAUCGCUUAUUAUACACAUUCCACACCAUGGGCAACUCACCUAAUUCAGAUGCCUUUGAGAAAAAACCACACAAACAUAGGUAGAUUUGCCACCUGUCCUAUAUUGAAAAAUAAAAUGCUGUGUCCCCCCCCUCCUCUCCCAAUACGUUCCAUAUUUUGUCAUCGGAAACCCCUCCCCCAAAUAUUAUCUUCUGAAAGAUUUUAAGUAAUGAAUAUGCAAUUAUGAAAAUUGUUCUUAGCUUGCAUUCUUCGAACUAAGCACUGCGAUAUGCUGUAUUUCCAUAUACAGAGCCCAAGCUAUUUAAUAUGAUUGCAACACAGGUUAACAUCUUAAACUCAUGCACUGACUUGCAAAUGACUUGCAAAUGAUUACAGGAGUUCAAGGGAAAAGAAUUUUCAAAAAGGAUUUUGUCUUUAACGCUGCUACAUCUGCAGUGAUCAGAUGUAUUCUGUAAAAAAAAAGGUUACAGCGUUGCAUUAAAAAGGUCAUUGAAUGUCAGUCAAACAGGACAUGGCUAAUAUUCACAAAUGUUUGCAUUGACAGAGGAUGAAAUCAGAAGUGGAUCCCAUUUAAAUAAAUGGUGAUGCAUUCUGUAUAGCUGAUAGAGAAAGUGAUCAAUCAAACAGGUAAAUACCUAUAACAUACAGCCAGCAUUGGGACUCUUGUUUCUGGGCCAUGUGUUCGUAUCUGGGCCCUGCUCCAGUCUUCCCCUGCUUCCUCCGUGUUUUCUCUGGGUACUCCAGUUCUCUCCUGCAGUCCAACUAUAAGAUGUUUGUUUCCAUGGCACACUUAGUGUGUCAUCGUUUGAGUAUCUUAAAAUAGAAUGAUGUUUGCCUUAUGCCCUACAUUUGGAACAGGUCCUGAUUCUAAACCAAUAAAGAGUAGUUACAAUGCAGCAUAAUGUAACUAUUCAUCCAUGGCAUAACACACAACUAAAAGAAAAUGUGCUUCAAAAUGAAGAACCUCCACAGGCUUUUUGGAACAAGCAUAUUCUCCGUAUGGUAAACUUUCUUCCUUUGUCUGUGUUCCUUUUCUCACUGUGUGCUGCAGGUAUCACAGUACUGUUCACUGUUACAAAAUCCCAGACAUGUUUGUACAUUUUUCACUAAUUGACACGUUAAGUAAAAAAAAGUACUGACCUUUUUCUCCUUUUCACUAAGGAAGUAAAUCAACGCCGGACUGAUUUAAGUAAAGGCCAAUGCAUAAAGUUGCUAUUUUGGAAAUGGACAUUUUGAACAGAAAACUCUACAUAUACUAUCAUGACAACUGGCUUUUGUUUCUGUGCUGUAGCAGAAAAGGGUCUUAUGGUGACACAAAAGGACGAUGUUUGUGGGCACAGUAGGACACAAUGCAUUCAUUGUGAAAAUCAUGAAGAUUAUCUCAUCUCAGUGUAACCAGAGAAAUUCUUCCAAUGCCUGUUCCAGGCUUUUGUUUCUUAGCAAGAGCAUUGAUAGACUAGAUUUUAGAAGAUGACAUACAGUGAGGGAAAUAAUUAUUUGACCCCCUGCUGAAUUCUUAAGUUGACCCAUUAAUAAAGAAAUGAGAAGUCUGUCAUUUCACCGGUAUAUUUAUUUAAACUGCAAAAGAUAGAUUAUUAACAAAACAAGCAAGAAAAAAAUCAUGAUGUAACAGUUACAAACCAAUUUGUCAUUUAUCUAAGAAAUAAGUAUUUAAUCCCUUAGAACACAUUCUUUAGUACUUGGUAGAAUAACCAUUAUUUGCAAGCACAGCUGUCUGACGUUUCUUGUAGUUGGUCACCAGGAUUGCAUGCAGAUCAUCAGGAAUUUUCAUCCACCCCUCUUUGCAGACCUCCUUCAAAUUUCUAAGGUUUUUAGGCUGUAACUUGGAUAGAUGAAGCUUCAGUUCCCUCCAUACGGAAUACUAUGGGGUUAAAGUCCAGAGACUGGCUAGGGCUCCCAUGACCUUAAUGUGCUUCUCCUUGAAUCACUCCUUUGUUGCCUUAGCCGUAUGCUUAGGGUUGCUGUCUUGCUGGAAGACCCACUCGCUGAAGGGGUGGCUGAAGGGAGGAGGUUCUCAUUCAAGAUUCUACAGUACAUUGCCUCGUCCAUCUUUCCUUCGAUGUGGUGCAGCCGUCCUGGAUCAAAUACUUAUUUCCCUAGAUAAAUGAGAAAUUGGUUUGUAACUGCUACAUAAUGUUUUUUUCUUGCUUGUUUUGUUAAUAAUCUAUCUUUUGCUGUUUAAAUAAACAUACCAGUGAAAUUA